CUGGAAGAAGGGCAGCAACGUCAGUCUGGCAUAGCUGGAGUCUCUACUCAAGCAAUUCUCCCUUUUGGAUGGCUUCAGAUGGUGUUACCCCAGUGACAUGGGAAUGCCUUGGAAAAACUCCCGGAGAGUGUGCAGUUGCCUGGAUUACAUCUUUGUGCACAAGACCUGCUCCAUGGAAUCCACGGCGGUGUCCCCAGUGUGGUAUUCCAAGGACAACUGCGUGAUAGUGGGGGCUAACACCAACCUGCCGACAUUCAGUUGUCUGGGGAGCCCAGAAGAAGAUGGUUAUCCACAGCCUGAGAUGGGGAGAUGGAGAGGAAGUGCUGGAUGAGGGCUACAAAGUAGAAGUGGUGACUGCAUUCUACAGAGAGCUUUUUCAGAAAAGCAGAUAGAGGUGGAAGCAGGUGCUGCUUUUUUGAAGGGGCUGAAGGCAAGAGUACUGAAGGAGGUGAGGUAGGACUUCUACAGCUGUUUAUUGGACAUCCUGGUGGCAGAUCUGGUGGAGGUAGGACAAGAGAUGUUCCGUCAGGGGAAACUGGGAGACACCAUGGGGGAAGGUGUCAGCUCCCCGCUCUUCAAAGGUGGGGGACGGGGUUCCACAGACUUCAGGAACUGGAGGCCUAUUACCAUGCUCUGCAUGGACAUCAAGAUGCUGUCCAAGCUUCUGUCCAGCAGACUGAGGACCACCCUUCUCCACAUCAUCCACAGUGACCAGAUGUGUGGGGUGGAGGGACGAUCUGUCAGCUGGAACCUCCAGCUCACCUGAGGCACCAUUGCCUGGGCUGAGGACCGGAACAUGCCCUCGAUGGUGGUGAGCCUGGUCCAGGAGAAAGCCAUUGACAGAGUAAACCACAGCUAGCUUGUCAGAGUGCUGGAAUGCUUUGGUUUUGGAGAGAGUUUCGGGCACUAGAGCAUUAGCAGACGCAGUGAGACAGGACCUUGUCUUCGAUGACCUGGCAAUACCAGGAUGUGCGGGGGAAACCCUGAAGAUAUCCUAGUAUGCAGACGACACAAUGCUGUUCCUGGGCUAAGACAGGGGGUUGAUGGGGGGCCCUGCAGGUCAUGGAGCAAUACUCCAGAGCCUUGAGGUUGAAGCUCAACCGCCAGAAGAGCAAACAGAAAUUCUUCGGACCCUGGAAGGACAGGACAACGGCAUUGGAAGG